rnacentral:misc_RNA from 1 species
GAAAGCAAUUAUCAAAGAAACUUUCAGAUUGCAUCCGGCAGUCCCCCUACUCUUGCCCAGCAAAGCAGGGGUAGACGUAGAAAUCUGUGGCUUUACAGUUCCUAAAGGUGCUCAAUUGUUGGUCUAUGCAUGGGCCAUAGGUAGGGACCCAAGUCUUUGGGAGGAUCCAGUGUUGUUUAUGCCAGAGAGAUUCUUGGGUUCGGAUAUGGAUGUUCGAGGGUGUGAUUUUGAGCUUAAUCCUUUUGGUGCUGGACGGCGAAUUUGCCCUGGAUUGCCAUUGGGAAUCAGAAUGUUACACUUAAUGUUGGGAUCACUGAUCCAUUCCUUUGAUUGGAAACUUGAAGAUGGGAUUACA